CCUACGGGGGGCAGCAGUGGGGAAUAUUGGACAAUGGGGGCAACCCUGAUCCAGCCAUACCGCGUGUGUGAAGAAGGCCCUCGGGUUGUAAAGCACUUUCAGUGAGGAAGAACGCCUGGUGGUUAAUACCCAUCAGGAAAGACAUCACUCACAGAAGAAGCACCGGCUAACUCCGUGCCAGCAGCCGCGGUAAUACGGAGGGUGCGAGCGUUAAUCGGAAUUACUGGGCGUAAAGCGCGCGUAGGUGGCUUGAUAAGCCGGUUGUGAAAGCCCCGGGCUCAACCUGGGAACGGCAUCCGGAACUGUCAAGCUAGAGUGCAGGAGAGGAAGGUAGAAUUCCCGGUGUAGCGGUGAAAUGCGUAGAGAUCGGGAGGAAUACCAGUGGCGAAGGCGGCCUUCUGGACUGACACUGACACUGAGGUGCGAAAGCGUGGGUAGCAAACAGGAUUAGAUACCCGGGUAGUC
rnacentral:rRNA from 1 species